rnacentral:rRNA from 1 species
UACACACCGCCCGUCACACCACGAAAGUCGGCCGGACCAGAGGUCGCUGAGCUAACCGUAAGGAGGCAAGCGCCUAAGGUAAUGUCGAUGAUUGGGGUG